AGAGUUUGAUCAUGGCUCAGAUUGAACGCUGGCGGCAGGCCUAACACAUGCAAGUCGAGCGGUAGCACAGAGAGCUUGCUCUCGGGUGACGAGCGGCGGACGGGUGAGUAAUGUCUGGGAAACUGCCUGAUGGAGGGGGAUAACUACUGGAAACGGUAGCUAAUACCGCAUAAUGUCGCAAGACCAAAGUGGGGGACCUUCGGGCCUCAUGCCAUCAGAUGUGCCCAGAUGGGAUUAGCUAGUAGGUGGGGUAACGGCUCACCUAGGCGACGAUCCCUAGCUGGUCUGAGAGGAUGACCAGCCACACUGGAACUGAGACACGGUCCAGACUCCUACGGGAGGCAGCAGUGGGGAAUAUUGCACAAUGGGCGCAAGCCUGAUGCAGCCAUGCCGCGUGUGUGAAGAAGGCCUUCGGGUUGUAAAGCACUUUCAGCGGGGAGGAAGGCGUUGAGGUUAAUAACCUUGGCGAUUGACGUUACCCGCAGAAGAAGCACCGGCUAACUCCGUGCCAGCAGCCGCGGUAAUACGGAGGGUGCAAGCGUUAAUCGGAAUUACUGGGCGUAAAGCGCACGCAGGCGGUCUGUCAAGUCGGAUGUGAAAUCCCCGGGCUUAACCUGGGAACUGCAUUCGAAACUGGCAGGCUAGAGUCUUGUAGAGGGGGGUAGAAUUCCAGGUGUAGCGGUGAAAUGCGUAGAGAUCUGGAGGAAUACCGGUGGCGAAGGCGGCCCCCUGGACAAAGACUGACGCUCAGGUGCGAAAGCGUGGGGAGCAAACAGGAUUAGAUACCCUGGUAGUCCACGCCGUAAACGAUGUCGAUUUGGAGGUUGUGCCCUUGAGGCGUGGCUUCCGGAGCUAACGCGUUAAAUCGACCGCCUGGGGAGUACGGCCGCAAGGUUAAAACUCAAAUGAAUUGACGGGGGCCCGCACAAGCGGUGGAGCAUGUGGUUUAAUUCGAUGCAACGCGAAGAACCUUACCUGGUCUUGACAUCCACAGAACUUUCCAGAGAUGGAUUGGUGCCUUCGGGAACUGUGAGACAGGUGCUGCAUGGCUGUCGUCAGCUCGUGUUGUGAAAUGUUGGGUUAAGUCCCGCAACGAGCGCAACCCUUAUCCUUUGUUGCCAGCGGUCCGGCCGGGAACUCAAAGGAGACUGCCAGUGAUAAACUGGAGGAAGGUGGGGAUGACGUCAAGUCAUCAUGGCCCUUACGACCAGGGCUACACACGUGCUACAAUGGCAUAUACAAAGAGAAGCGACCUCGCGAGAGCAAGCGGACCUCAUAAAGUAUGUCGUAGUCCGGAUUGGAGUCUGCAACUCGACUCCAUGAAGUCGGAAUCGCUAGUAAUCGUAGAUCAGAAUGCUACGGUGAAUACGUUCCCGGGCCUUGUACACACCGCCCGUCACACCAUGGGAGUGGGUUGCAAAAGAAGUAGGUAGCUUAACCUUCGGGAGGGCGCUUACCACUUUGUGAUUCAUGACUGGGGUGAAGUCGUAACAAGGUAACCGUAGGGGAACCUGCGGUUGGAUCACCU
rnacentral:rRNA from 1 species